rnacentral:rRNA from 1 species
AACGAACGCUGGCGGCAUGCCUAACACAUGCAAGUCGAACGAGACCUUCGGGUCUAGUGGCGCACGGGUGCGUAACGCGUGGGAACCUGCCCUUAGGUUCGGAAUAACUCCCCGAAAGGGGUGCUAAUACCGGAUAAUAUCUUCGGACCAAAGAUUUAUCGCCUUUGGAUGGGCCCGCGUUGGAUUAGCUAGUUGGUAGGGUAAAAGCCUACCAAGGCGACGAUCCAUAGCUGGUCUGAGAGGAUGAUCAGCCACACUGGGACUGAGACACGGCCCAGACUCCUACGGGAGGCAGCAGUGGGGAAUAUUGGACAAUGGGCGAAAGCCUGAUCCAGCAAUGCCGCGUGAGUGAUGAAGGCCUUAGGGUUGUAAAGCUCUUUUAACCGGGAUGAUAAUGACAGUACCGGGAGAAUAAGCUCCGGCUAACUCCGUG